rnacentral:rRNA from 1 species
AGUUAACGUUGGCGGCGUGCCUAACACAUGCAAGUCGAACGCGUCCUAAGGGCAACUUUAGGAUGAGUGGCGAACGGGUGAGUAUCACGUGGGUAAUCUUCCUUUAAGUGGGGAAUAAGCUCUCGAAAGGGAGUCUAAUACCGCAUGACAUUCCGGGACACAAGUCCCGUAAUCAAAGCCGCAAGGCGCUUGAAGAUGAGCCUGCGUCCUAUUAGCUAGUUGGUGGGGUAACGGCCUACCAAGGCUCAGAUGGGUAGCCGGCCUGAGAGGUCGGACGGCCACAUUGGAACUGAGAUACGGUCCAGACUCCUACGGGAGGCAGCAGUGGGGAAUAUUGGGCAAUGGGCGAAAGCCUGACCCAGCGACGCCGCGUGAGGGAAGAAGGUCUUCGGAUUGUAAACCUCUGUUGACAGGGACGAAGGAAGUGACGGUACCUGUUGAGGAAGCCACGGCUAACUACGUG